rnacentral:rRNA from 1 species
GAUGAACGCUGGCGGCGUGCUUAACACAUGCAAGUCGAACGAAGCACUUUAUUUGAUUUCCUUCGGGACUGAUUAUUUUGUGACUGAGUGGCGGACGGGUGAGUAACGCGUGGGUAACCUGCCUUGUACAGGGGGAUAACAGUUGGAAACGGCUGCUAAUACCGCAUAAGCGCACGGCAUCUCAUGAUGCAGUGUGAAAAACUCCGGUGGUAUAAGAUGGACCCGCGUUGGAUUAGCUAGUUGGUGCGGUAACGGCCCACCAAGGCGACGAUCCAUAGCCGACCUGAGAGGGUGACCGGCCACAGUGGGACUGAGACACGGCCCAAACUCAUACGGGAGGCAGCAGUGGGGAAUAUUGCACAGUGGGCGAAAGACUGAUGCAGCGACGCCGCGUGAGAGAAGAAGUAUUUCGGUAUGUAAAGCUCUAUCAGCAGGGAAGAUAAUGACGGUACCUGACGAAGAAGCACCGGCUAAAUACGUG